rnacentral:rRNA from 1 species
CACGUAGGGCGCAAGCGUUGUCCGGAAUUAUUGGGCGUAAAGAGCUCGUAGGUGGUUUGUUACGUCUGCUGUGAAAACCUAGGGCUUAACCCUGGGCUUGCAGUGGAUACGGGCAGACUAGAGGUAGGUAGGGGAGAAUGGAAUUCCUGGUGUAGCGGUGAGAUGCGCAGAUAUCAGGAGGAACACCGGUGGCGAAGGCGGUUCUCUGGGCCUUACCUGACACUGAGGAGCGAAAGCGUGGGGAGCGAACAGG